GCCAGCAGCCAUAUCACUCUGCAACUCACAACUGGCAGCCCACUGAAGCUAAGCAGGUGUGAGCCUGGUCAGUACCUGGAUGGGAGACCUCCUGGGAAAAACUAAGGUUGCUGCUUGGC
rfam:Lepisosteus oculatus linkage group LG7, whole genome shotgun sequence.